UACAGAGGUCUCAAGCGUUGUUCGGAUUCAUUGGGCGUAAAGGGUGUGUAGGUGGCGCCGUAAGUCGGGUGUGAAGUCUCGGGGCUUAACUCCGAAACUGCAUUCGAUACUGCGGUGCUUGAGGACUGGAGAGGAGACUGGAAUUCAUGGUGUAGCAGUGAAAUGCGUAGAGAUCAUGAGGAAGACCAGUGGCGAAGGCGGGUCUCUGGACAGUUCCUGACGCUGAGGCACGAAGGCCAGGGGAGCAAACGGG
rnacentral:rRNA from 1 species